AUUACUGGCCUGGGGGCUGGGCAGGCGGCUGUUUGCCCGGCUCCAGCCCGAAAGGUGGUGAUGGGUUAAAGAGCCGGGUUUGCUGCUGCAGGCGUGUGCUAUUCGUUGUUUCUGGCAAGCGGGACUUGGUCCUGGGAGAGAGGUGGGGCCGCCGCAGCUGAGAGCGAGCCGGGGUGCAGGCGCUGCGCUGCGCUGCGCUAGCAGCAACGGGGAAGCGGAGCGCUUGACGGGGAAGGGGAAAAGUGAGCGGAGGGGCGGUGGAUCCUCCCUUCGGAAGCCGCCUCUCUCCUGCCGCGCUUAGCCCUCGGCUCCCAGCAGGGAGUGGCCGCCUCGGGAGGGGCCCCGCGGGACAGCAGCGGUGGCAGGGGCUGAAGUCACUCAGCUCUAACAACUUGCCUAUUUCUCAACAAUAUCAAAUGCUUCUGGGAAAAAUGGGGAAACACUAAGGCCUGAUUGUCCAGUUCUGAUUGGUUCCUUUCUAGACUGAAGAAUUUGGAUCACCCUAUUUUUUAUUGGAAAAACAAGGCCCUGGGGUAGAGGCAAAAAUGUACAAAACGCCCAUCUGCGUGCUACAGCUAAGCAGGGUGGUGAUGAACCACAAGCUCUGGGCUGUGUUUAUCAUCACCUUCAAGUUCAUGUCCUUUGUCUCCAUAAUGUUUUACUGGAAAAUCACCGAGGACGCCAAAGGCAAGCGUCUGCUCUAUGGCUUGCCUCUGGAAGUCAAAUGUCCUCGAUCUGUGCCUUCUCCCCCCCCAGCUGUAUCUGGCAGGCCACCUCCACCGCCUGGGGAUAUAUUUUUUGUGGAGACCUCAGAAAAAACCAACCCAAGUUUUCUCUUUAUGUGCUCUGUCGAAUCAGCAGCCAGGGCUCACCCUGAGACCAAAGUCGUCAUCCUUAUGAAGGGCUUGGCAAACAGAAAUUUCACUCUUCCAAAACACUGGGGCUUCUCCCUGCUGAGCUGCUUCCCCAAUGUGGAAAUCCGGCCACUGGACUUGAAUGACCUUUUCUCUGGUACCCCUCUAGCUGACUGGUAUUUGGUGGCCCAGCACAGAUGGGAGCCUUAUUUCUUACCCAUACUUUCUGAUGCCUGUAGAAUUGCUAUCAUGUGGAAAUUUGGGGGUAUCUACUUAGACACAGACUUCAUAGUCCUUAAGAACUUAAAGAACCUCACCAAUGCUCUUGGAACCCAGUCCAAAUAUGUAUUGAAUGGGGCUUUUCUCUCUUUUGAAGCCAAACACAAGUUCAUAGAGCUUUGCAUGCAGGACUAUGUGGAUAAUUACAAUGGCUGGAUCUGGGGGCACCAGGGCCCACAGCUUUUAACCCGUGUUUUCAAAAAAUGGUGCUCUAUCAGGAGUCUCCGGAGCAGUAAAAGCUGUAAAGGAGUCAGUACUCUUCCCAGAGAAGCCUUUUAUCCCAUCCGCUGGCAGGACUGGAAGAAGUACUUUGAAGUGGUCAGCUCUUCAGAGCUUCACAGACUCUUCAAGAACACCUACGCGGUGCAUAUUUGGAAUAAAAAGAGUCAAGGGACAAGAUUUGAGAUCACCUCAAAAGCUUUGCUGGCUCAGCUGCAUUCCCAUUACUGCCCUUCAACAUAUGGGAUAAUGAAGAAGUAUUUUUGAAAGGAAUUGAUUGACCCACCUGUCACCUAACUGAACAAAGGAAGUAGCCAAAACUGUUCAGCCUUCCAAGCAAAAAUGUACAUUUGAAAGCGCUUAUAUCUCUGUGAAUCAUCAAUCACCAGGCGGUGUGAUGUAGUGAAAUUCAAAGAUAAAUGUAGGGCAGGCUGAAUGGACAGUGGCUGAUCCAGCGCUCCAUUUCAUGAACAUGACUAAUGCUGAAUCUUAAUGGGAUGGUAUCAUCUGGCACUUCUGGAAAACUGCUCUAAGUCGUGAUCCGACCAACACUGCUGACUGCUCUGGCUCUGUCUGACCUUCAAGUCUGCAGCUGCUUCGGGGCUUUUUCGGCUUCCCAGCUCAACCACAAGCAAGCACAGAUUUGCUCAGCUGAGCCAAAGAUAUGUAUAAAACAAAAGACAGCCUGAAGCAUAGCAGGCCAAAAUCUUUCUUUCUUCCUUUCUUUCUUUACUUGCAACCACCCCAAUGACAAAUAGCAGAGCAACAGGACCCUAACCUACUAUGGAACUCAUCCCCCUCACUUCACAAGGCUAUGAAUAAUCAGGUGUGGUUUAUUUUUCUCUCUCAACCUUAGGUCACGUUCUUAGCUUUACUCUCCUUUUCCUGUGUCUUAAAGUCAUUUUGAUCUUGUUGGUUUCCCCUCAGUCCUCAACCCUGAAAACUUCAGAAUACACACACUUUUUUUUUUUUGAAAAAAGUGUGUACUUACCAAAACCCAACAAUGUCUAAGAGCAUAGGAACUGUGUUCUUACACAGCCCAUGAGGCUGCUGUAUGAUGGUAUCCUGUCUCCCAGCCACUGGAGCCAAUGUUGGCUAUUUCAGAGGAAGGCAAACUGCGUACCCAUUGUAACUUUGCAACACUAUAUGCUGGGGAUCUUCCUGAGCCCUACCUCAUGAACAUUUUAUAUCUGAGACAUUAGCGGUGAUAGCCCUUGUAUUUUUUUUUCCAGCUUGUGUCAGUGCAGCUGCUAUUCCUGUCCAUAUAAAUGGAUAGAAAUGCAAGAAAUUGCCAGGUUGGAACAGAUCCCUGGUCUGGGUAGUAUGGUAUCCUAUUCCUGGUAUUUCUCUUUUACAUGGCCUCAGUCCAGCUGAGCAAUGAAAUGUUAGCUGAGCCAGGGACAGCUUAAUGGUCAAGGCAUAGACUUCUUUUGGUCAGGCUGCAUCACAAAGUGUGCACUUUAUUUGGUCACACUCGUUGCCUCUGAAUUUCAUGUAAAAUAUAGCACUGCUUAUGUGAAAAAGUGCCUUUUCAUAGAAUGGCCUAUUUCUCUGCAACUCACAACCUGCAUAAAGAGCUUUGCACUAAUCCCAUGUUCUCUCCACUGCUGUAAAUAGAAUAGAGGUCAGUUGUUAAAUUGGGAGGGAGUCCCUCUGUCCUAGUAGAACAUGGGAAAUUGCGUCAGUUGUGUCCUGGCAGAUUAGCUUGCAGUAUGUUAGGAAAAUUCUAAAUUUAGGAUUUGAGUGGAACAUUGUUGAUUCAUGGCAGCUUAAUAUCAGGCUAAAGGAAGAGGCCAAUCUAGUCUGCAGUGAAAUGCAUAAUAAAGUCCUUUGCACAUUAAGGAUCACGUGCCUUGAAUAUCUCCAUUCUGACUGCUGCCUUAGUGGUACUAAUCAUACAGAUAAAAGGGGUGCCCAGUGGAAUUCAAAUGUUUCAUUUGCCUGGUGUUUCCUUUUCCAUUUUGAGGAAAAUGAAUACAGUAUCCCUCUCUCAUCCAUGCAUGAGGAAACAGACUUGAGCCAGUAGUGGUUGUAUUGGAGCCAUUUGCCCCUAUUGUCCCGCCUCAAGGGUUAAAUAGAUCUGGUUUAGAAAAAACAAUUGGAUAGAACACUCUUCUGUCAUAAUGCAGUUUUGACUAAAUCAAAACUUUUUGCAGGAACAUACAGAUUUUUGAUUACAUUUUGCAGUGGGUAAAAGUCAAAACAAUGUGUUCAGAGUAAGUUUGAUUUUUGUUGUUGUUUUUGGCUUUUGGUAUUAUAUUAAAAUACAUAUAUGUAACAUUUUAAUAUGGUAUAAAAGUCACAACAAAAUGAAUUGAAAUGACACUUUUAAAAUGAAAUGGUUUUACAUUGAUGAAACAUUUCAAAGCUAUUGAAAUUAAAUGUUUAGAUGGUCCCAAGUUGAUUUUUUUCCCCCUUCUUGAUUUUUGGUUCACAGGAAUCUACAAAAUUUUGGCUUUUCGGUUUGGUUUGGAGCAAUUUUUUUGGUCAGACUCUCCUGCAGAAUGAAAAUUGUGGCUCCCAACCAGCUCUAAUAAGCUGUAAUGUUGUCUGAAGCACCAGCCAAAUGCAGUUCAAUGUGGAAGAAUCAUCAUUGAGAAGGGAAAGGGAAAAUUUGGUUGUGGUUUUAAAAAAAAGUUCAAAAUAAGCUGGAAACGAUCCACUGUGACCUUUUGUUAGUCAGAUAAGCAAGCAUCUAUGUCUUUCCCUGAAGACUGUCAAAAUUUAACUGGUGCUCCUGUUACUUAGCUUGCACUGAAAUAUGGAAACCGGUGGGAACUUUCUUUAAGCUGUAGCCAGGAUUUGCACUGAUAAUCGAAGGUAGAGAUGAACAGUUCACUGUGAUCUUUUCUCACCUUUUUCAGGGUACAGUCUUUACAAGGCAACCUGGGUCAGGAUUUUCACUUCUAGGCAAAGGAAGCUCCUGAAAUAUUGCAGCCCCCUCUGGGGUGAAAAAAGCUUUAAAAUUUUUUUUUGUUUUGUUUUUGGCGUGGAUAGAGACCACAGGCACCAUUUUUAUUGCCAGAGGUCCUAAGUAGAAAUCCUGGCAUAUUUUUUAAAUCAAGAAUUAGUGCUGCUGUUGUCUGGAUUUAUGCCAUUUGAUGCCUUUUCAGAGAUUCAUCCUCUUCUUAAAAGAGAUAAACCAAAGCAGCCUUUGGCCUUUUCCUAUUGUUCAAUGUUUAUGGGGGGAAAAUAAAUGUAAUUUUUACCUUUUUAUUUCAUGUUUCUACAAAAAAAGUUUCAUUUUGUUUUUCAAGUGAUUGUUGGAAACUUUAUUAUAAACUGCAUGUUAUUGUCUAGACAAGAAAUUUUCAUCUUAUCACUAGAAACAACUUGAUUACAUUUAGCAGUGUUGAAAUAGCAUUAGACUAGCUGAGUUUAAGCAAUUUUUAAGAUAUAAAUUAUGGCAUGCAGGCUGGAUGCGUAGGCAGUUGGUAAUGUCAGUGCAAAAUAUUCAGCUCCUGUUCUCUAUCCAGCGUUAUGAUGACCAUACAAAAUGACUAUUUAUUUGGUAACCUAUGUAAAAUAAGCUUGGUGAUCUUGGUCCAGAAAAUGGACAGAUCCACACCAUAAGAAAUUGUAUUGCAAUUUACACUACUCUUAUCAGUGAGGUCAAUAAUCAGGGCCCUAAAUUAGCACUGACCACCCUCUUAGUCUUAAUAGUGGAAAGUUUGCACUUCCAUUGCCCUACCUAUAUUUGUGGACCUGAUCCAAGGCCUGUUGAAGUCAAGGGGAGUCUUUCCAGUGACUUCAAUGUUUUUUGAGCAAGGCAAUGGAUGAAUAAAGGACCUUGUGCACCAGUACUGUCAUUUUGAUCCCCAAACUGGCUUAUUUGCAAAAUGAAAUAUGUAGCUCCCGGGUUUGUCUUGUAUCCUGUUGAGGUUCAGAUAGGCAGUGAAAUUGGCAGGUUUAUAAACACCCAACCCCAGCGCCAAUAUACAAAUACUUGAUAACAAGUUUUCAAUUAUUAAAUACUAGCUCAGCUUUAUUUCUCUAGCUUUGCAAUGGUAGCUUGUGUGUUCUGUUGUUCCCGAAAGUGUAUCUGAUGAUAAAAUCAUUUCCAGUAUGUUCAAAUCAUGUUGUUAAUAGCAAAGUGACUGAAGUUUUACUGUGACCACACUGAAUCAUGAAUGAAGGGAACAGAUUUCACUUUUAAUGUGCAAAUAUUAAACAUGUUGUUUAAAUACUAAA